UGAGGAAUAUUGGGCAAUGCCCGAAAGGGUGACCCAGCAACGCCGCGUGGAGGAUGAAGGUCGUAAGAUUGUAAACUCCUGUUAGAGGGGAAGAAUAACUAAGUUUGGAGCUUAGUAUGACUGUACCCUCAGAGAAAGCCACGGCUAACUACGUGCCAGCAGCCGCGGUAAUACGUAGGGGGCAAGCGUUGUCCGGAUUUACUGGGUGUAAAGGGCGCGCAGGCGGAAUGGAAAGUCAGUGGUGAAAUCCUACAGCUUAACUGUAGAACUGCCUUUGGUACUUUCAUUCUUGAGUUCGGGAGAGAGAGACGGAAUUCCAGGUGUAGUGGUGAAAUACGUAGAUAUCUGGAAGAACACCAGUUGCGAAGGCGGUCUCUUGGUCCGAUACUGACGCUGAGGCGCGAAAGCGUGGGGAGCAAACA
rnacentral:rRNA from 1 species